UGAUGCUUCACCACAAGUGUGUGUCUUUUACUCUAUAUGUGAAAUGUUGCAACUGCAUUUGGUGGAGGCUUGCCUCUUGGAAUAAGUGGUACAAAUGACAGGUGCACCAUCCUUGUCUCCAAUCUGGAUCCUGACUGUGUUUCUGGGAUUCAAGCAUUUGAAAUGAUAGUAAUUGCUGCGGUAGGGAACAACCUCAUAUGUUUAUAUUAAUCGGGAAUGGUUUAUUGAGUUUUGUUUAUGUUGAUUAAAUAAUAAUAUUCUUUGGGGAUAUCCUUCUUUAUGGAAGUGAGAUUCUUCAAAUGUUUGUAAGAUAGCAUUCUCUUAUAAUCAUAAUAAAGAAGAGCGCAUCUUUAUAAACAUAAUAAAGAAGAGCACAUCUUCAAAAAUAUUCAUCCCUAUUUGGGGCAUGGGAAGUUAUUUCAUACUUUGGUAGAGUUUGAUGCAUGAUGCACAUGCACUUAGAGAUAAAGAUCUGUAAACGCAGCGUGCAUUAUCUCAUUAUGCCAUUCAAAUUGUGGGGUCCACUGUAGAUCAGAUUAUAAUCUGAAAAUCAGAUUGGUUCAACAAUCUUAACCUUGAUUUGUGGAAACUUAUUUGUUGAAUAGUUGGAUUUUUUUAUUUUUAUUUUUCAAUUUUAACCAUCUGAUACUUGUCCACUAAUUGGCUAGUUUGGUAAUCAAUUCAAGGUAAUUUUUAGAUUAUGAUGCAUCUAAGUUGGUGCUGAUAGAUUAAUUUGAGUUACUUGUAUGCCACAUAUAUGAACCAUCACAUCUUGCCAAAGUUGUUAUGCCUGAAACCUACCUCUACAAAAAUACUUUACAGCUACAUGAAUACGGAACUGAUCCUUAUCCAUUUGUCUUAGCAAUGGUGAGAUUGAGGAAAGUGAACUCUCUGAUGCAAGCUCAACAAAUUUGAAAGAAGAUGGAUCUUCACCAUCCCUAACUCUAAUAAAAAGCAGGUAGAUAUGUUAUACCAGCUCAUAAAUUCACCAGUUAAAUGGUUAGUCUUGUAAAAUAUAUGGAAUGGUUUUUUGAAGAUCUGUUUUCCCUUCCACUUCUUUAUUUCUUUCAUUGGUAUGGCAUUUUGGAGUAAAUCUAUAUGCAUAUGGAAAAUUAGGGAUGGUAUUCAAAUAAACUUUCAUAUCUAAAAGGAAAAGUGCCUUCCUCGAUAGGAAUUCCAACAUCAGUUGCCCUGCCCUUUGGAGUUUUUGAGAAGGUUUUGUUAGAUGAUUCAAACCUGGUUUGUCUCAUCUCAUCUCAUGUCACUUAAGUGUAUCCAACAUCAAUAGAAUGCUAAUUCUAACAUAUCGACCUUUGAAACCUUUCCAAAAUUAUCAGAAAUGACAAGUGAUUGUCAAGUAAAUGCUAGAUGUGUAAGCCUAGAUGAGGGCUUCGCUUGGUGAGGCAUGCAUUUCAUGACAAAGAGGCAUGCAUAACAAGUGAUUUCUUGUUUAGAAGCCUAAAAUAUAACUUCAUUCGAUCACAAUGCAUCAUUAACAUGAGAGAUGCAUCCGAGUAGACUUCCUUUUUCUCUAUCCAGGGUCCAUGUACACUGGAGUAGACUUCUAUAAGAAGUGUGGAGUGUCCAUUAUUCAAAGAUCCUCUAGCACUAAAACUGUUGGAAAGGCUUUUGUCAUUUGCACAAUAGCCCCUUCUGCACAGAUCAUGACCGCAGACAAGCCACAACGGGAAAUCCCAGGAGUUUCUGAAUCUGACCACUCUAGCCAGAAGAUAAGAUUAUUUUUUGCAUUGAGGGCCUGAACCUGUUGAAAGACUCCAAAAUACUGGUGAUAAUGCCUUCUACUGCUACACAGCUCACCGAAGAUCAACAGAAGAAACUAGUCCCUUGGAAACAAUGGCAAUCAUUGGCAACAAGGAGAUCUUUGACAUUAACCAAGGUAUGUUAGCUGCUUAGACUGGUGUAAAAAAAAAAAAAAAAAACUAGGAUGCAUGUGAGUUACCUUUUCCUUUUCUUUUUCUU